UGGGGAAUUUUGGACAAUGGGGGAAACCCUGAUCCAGCCAUCCCGCGUGUGCGAUGAAGGCCUUCGGGUUGUAAAGCACUUUUGGCAGGAAAGAAACGUCGCGGGUUAAUACCCCGCGAAACUGACGGUACCUGCAGAAUAAGCACCGGCUAACUACGUGCCAGCAGCCGCGGUAAUACGUAGGGUGCAAGCGUUAAUCGGAAUUACUGGGCGUAAAGCGUGCGCAGGCGGUUCGGAAAGAAAGAUGUGAAAUCCCAGAGCUUAACUUUGGAACUGCAUUUUUAACUACCGGGCUAGAGUGUGUCAGAGGGAGGUGGAAUUCCGCGUGUAGCAGUGAAAUGCGUAGAUAUGCGGAGGAACACCGAUGGCGAAGGCAGCCUCCUGGGAUAACACUGACGCUCAUGCACGAAAGCGUGGGGAGCAAACAGGAUUAGAUACCCUGGUAGUCCACGCCCUAAACGAUGUCAACUAGCUGUUGGGGCCUUCGGCCUUGGUAGCGCAGCUAACGCGUGAAGUUGACCGCCUGGGGAGUACGGUCGCAAGAUUAAAACUCAAAUGAAUUGAC
rnacentral:rRNA from 1 species